rnacentral:rRNA from 1 species
UGCCAGACUCCUACGGGAGGCAGCAGUGAGGAAUAUUGGUCAAUGGACGAGAGUCUGAACCAGCCAAGUAGCGUGAAGGAUGACUGCCCUAUGGGUUGUAAACUUCUUUUAUAUGGGAAUAAAAUGUUCCACGUGUGGGAUUUUGUAUGUACCAUAUGAAUAAGGAUCGGCUAACUCCGUGCCAGCAGCCGCGGUAAUACGGAGGAUGCGAGCGUUAUCCGGAUUUAUUGGGUUUAAAGGGUGCGUAGGCGGGAUGCCAAGUCAGCGGUAAAAAUGCGGUGCUCAACGCCGUCGAGCCGUUGAAACUGGCGUUCUUGAGUGGGCGAGAAGUAUGCGGAAUGCGUGGUGUAGCGGUGAAAUGCAUAGAUAUCACGCAGAACUCCGAUUGCGAAGGCAGCAUACCGGCGCCCUACUGACGCUGAGGCACGAAAGCGUGGGUAUCGAACAGGAUUAGAUACCCGAGUAU